GCCCCGUAACGUGUAUGAGCAGUCUGUCGUGCGGCAGGAAUAAGUUGUACAAAGUCCAUCUUAGACAUGUGUGUCAUGCAAGCUAGCAGCAUCCCAUGAGAAACGGGCCAAAGUGUUUAAGUGUUCACCGGAGUUUGCACCCUUGGCAAGCGGACUGAGUUUUCACGGUGCUCAAUGUCCAGAGAAUGAGGCGUGUGUGGUGAGGAAAUAAAUGGCUGCACCCGUUAGAGACUCUUCUGUCAUUCUUGAUGCCAAGGGCUGCUACAACCACUAUCAUGAAGAAAGCCCAAUAACAUCUUCACUUUCUUAGGAAACUGAAGAAGGCCAGUUUCCCUCCUUCCAUCCUCACAUCAUUUUACCAGGGAACCACUGAAAGGGUCGUCUGCUGCUACAUCUCUGGUGCGGGAACUGCACCUUCACUGAAAAGAAGUCUGUACCAGAUAGUGAGGACAGCAGAGAGGAUCAUUGGAGGCCCUCUCCCACCCAUCUCCAAACUCACAUCAUCUGACGUGCAAACAGCAGGGUAAAGGACACUUCACAAACUUCCAAAAAUCCACUACAAACUGGGCCUGGGAACAAUAUGCUUAUUUGCACACCUGAGUCACAUAGUUACUGAACACAUCUACAUAAUGCUAUAUUGCACAUUUUGCAUCUUGCAUGUCUUCGUCCUGUCUUGUCUACAAUAUCGUGACUCAUAACCUGAACCUGUUAUUCAAUACCUACUGCACAAUCCACUUUGUAUUGUCUCUGCCUGUCUUUUUAUGUAUUGUACAUAGAUAUAGUUAGUUAUAGUACCUUUCUU